rnacentral:rRNA from 1 species
GUCUAUGGCCAUGCCACCCUGAAUGCUCCUGAUCUCAUUUGAUCUCAGAAGCUAAGCAGUGUUGGGCCUGGUUAGUACUUGGGUGGGAGAGAUGCUUGCCAAGGAUG